rnacentral:rRNA from 1 species
UAAUACAGAGGUCUCGAGCGUUAGGCGGAAUCACUGGGCUUAAAGCGUGUGUAGGCGGACUGGUAAGUACCUUGUGAAAUCCCACGGCUCAACCGUGGAACUGCUUGGUAUACUGCUUGUCUUGUGCAACCUAGGGGCGAGCGGAACAGAUGGUGGAGCGGUGAAAUGCGUAGAUAUCAUCUGGAACGCCAAUGGUGAAAACAGCUCGCUGGGGGUUUGCAGACGCUGAGACACGAAAGCCAGGGGAGCGAACGGGAUUAGAUACCCCGGUAGUCCUGGCCCUAAACGAUGUCCACUAGAUCGUAGUUGCUCUGACGUAAUUAUGGUCGAAGCAAAAGUGCUAAGUGGACCGCCUGGGAAGUACGGUCGCAAGGCUA